GACGAACGCUGGCGGCGUGCCUAAUACAUGCAAGUUGAGCGCUGAAGGUUGGUACUUGUACCGACUGGAUGAGCAGCGAACGGGUGAGUAACGCGUGGGGAAUCUGCCUUUUAGCGGGGGACAACAUUUGGAAACGAAUGCUAAUACCGCAUAAAAACUUUAAACACAAGUUUUAAGUUUGAAAGAUGCAAUUGCAUCACUCAAAGAUGAUCCCGAGUUUUAUUAGCUAGGUGGUGAGGUAAAGGCUCACCAAGGCGAUGAUACAUAGCCGACCUGAGAGGGUGGAUCGCCAACACGGGAACGGGGAAACGGUCCAGACUCCUACGGGGGGCACAGGAGGGAAAUAUUGGACAAGGGGGAAAGGCUGGACGCGGCAAGACGGCGGAGGGAAGAAGGGCUUCCGAUUGUAAAACCCUGUUGGUAGAGAAGAAAGUGGGGGAGAGUAGAACGCUGCUGAAGUGACGGUACCUAAACAGAAAGCACCGGCUAACUACGUG
rnacentral:rRNA from 1 species